CACGUAGGGGCCAAGCGUUGUCCGGAUUUAUUGGGCGUAAAGCGCUCGUAGGCGGUUUGGUAAGUCGGGUGUGAAACCCCCGGGCUCAACUCGGGGACGCCACUCGAUACUGCCAUGACUAGAGUCCGGUAGGGGAGUGUGGAAUUCCUGGUGUAGCGGUGAAAUGCGCAGAUAUCAGGAGGAACACCGGUGGCGAAGGCGACACUCUGGGCCGGUACUGACGCUGAGGAGCGAAAGCGUGGGGA
rnacentral:rRNA from 1 species